rnacentral:sRNA from 1 species
UCCGUCUGGUGCAGAAUAUGCGCCCUGCAAAAUGAAUCUAUAACCGACGCUUAUGCGCCGGUUAUUUUUUUGC